GACGACUCUUUUAUUUAAAAAAAAUACAGCCCCAGUGCCAUGUUAUCACCCUGAAACAAAUUGUCACUCUUUAAUAUCAUUCAAUAUCCAGUCACCGUCUCCUUUGGCAUAGUGUCUUCAAGGUUUCUCCAUUUUGUAGCAUGUCAGGAUGCAGCAUGUCUUUUUUUUUUAAGGCUGAAUAAUAUUCCAUUGUAUGGAUCGAUACUGUAUUUUGUUUAUCCAUUCAUCCCUCCACAGACAAUUGGGUUGCGUCUGCCCAUUGAC
rnacentral:lncRNA from 1 species